AACGAGCGCUGGCGGCAGGCUUAACACAUGCAAGUCGAGCGCCCCGCAAGGGGAGCGGCAGACGGGAGAGUAACACGUGGGAACGUACCCUUUAGUUCGGAACAACCCAGGGAGACUUGGGCUAAUACCGGAUACGUCCGUAAGGAGAAAGAUUUAUCGCUAAAGGAUCGGCCCGCGUCUGAUUAGCUAGUUGGUGAGGUAACGGCUCACCAAGGCGACGAUCAGUAGCUGGUCUGAGAGGAUGAUCAGCCUCACUGGGACUGAGACACGGCCCAGACUCCUACGGGAGGCAGCAGUGGGGAAUAUUGGACAAUGGGCGCAAGCCUGAUCCAGCCAUGCCGCGUGGGUGAUGAAGGCCCUAGGGUUGUAAAGCCCUUUCGGCGGGGAAGAUAAUGACGGUACCCGCAGAAGAAGCCCCGGCUAACUUCGUGCCAGCCGCCGCCGUAA
rnacentral:rRNA from 1 species